rnacentral:misc_RNA from 1 species
AUUUCUCCAGUUUUGUUCGGCAACUUAAUACUUAUAUGUAGCUGAGGAAAAUUUUUUGUGCUAAGGUUCCGGCAAUGUAUAUACGUGUCUGAGGUUGCCGAAAUUUAAUUGAUGGAUCCUUAAGUGAUGAUAAUUUGCUCAAUACUACGCUGUGGAGGGAUCUAAUUGAAUGUAUUUGAAAUUUAUUAUUUUGCAUUGGGACUAUGGAAUUUUGUAAAUUUUUGUGGUUUGUGUCGGUAAAUUUUCUUGUAAUUUUCGGUGUAAUUGUAAUGGAUUGAUUUGUAUCGGAG